rnacentral:rRNA from 1 species
CAGUCGCCGCGGUAACACGAAGGGUGCAAGCGUUUAUCGGAAUUACUGGGCGUAAAGCGUGCGUAGGCGGUGAGUUAAGUCUGCUGUGAAAUCCCCGGGCUCAACCUGGGAAUGGCAGUGGAUACUGGCUCGCUAGAGUGUGUCAGAGGAUGGUGGAAUUCCCGGUGUAGCGGUGAAAUGCGUAGAGAUCGGGAGGAACAUCAGUGGCGAAGGCGGCCAUCUGGGACAACACUGACGCUGAGGCACGAAAGCGUGGGGAGCAAACAGGAUUAGAUACCCCGGUAGUCCCUGUCUCUUAUAC